rnacentral:ncRNA from 1 species
UGGUGAGUAAGUCCUUCUGAAAGGAUGAUGUCCACGUAGGUGGAAUGGGAGCGAGUAGGAAAGGGUUCACCA